rnacentral:rRNA from 1 species
GACGAACGCUGGCGGCGUGCUUAACACAUGCAAGUCGAACGGAAAGGCCCUGCUUUUGUGGGGUGCUCGAGUGGCGAACGGGUGAGUAACACGUGAGUAACCUGCCCUUGACUUUGGGAUAACUUCAGGAAACUGGGGCUAAUACCGGAUAGGAGCUCCUGCUGCAUGGUGGGGGUUGGAGAGUUUCGGCGGUUGGGGAUGGACUCGCGGCUUAUCAGCUUGUUGGUGGGGUAGUGGCUUACCAAGGCUUUGACGGGUAGCCGGCCUGAGCGGGUGACCGGCCACAUUGGGACUGAGAUACGGCCCAGACUCCUACGGGAGGCAACAGUGGGGAAUAUUGCACAAUGGGCGGAAGCCUGAUGCAGCAACGCCGCGUGCGGGAUGACGGCCUUCGGGUUGUAAACCGCUUUCACCUGUGACGAAGCGUGAGUGACGGUAAUGGGUAAAGAAGCACCGGCUAACUACGUG